ACCUGGCCGGGAGGAGGGCGAGCUGGGCGGCCUUGGAGCAGCUCCACGGGGUGGGAAAGGGUGAAACGGCCCUGAGGGGAGGCUGCCUGGGCUGCUGUCACCGCCAAGGUGACCCGGGGACAGAGGCAGGGUGUUUACAAGGCUCGGAGUGCCCUGGCCCCGGGGGACAGAGGGGGAGCUGCAGGAGGGGGAAGCUGUCCGUGCCCUGGCAGGAGAAAUUCUGCAAGGACAAGCCUCUUAAAUCAAACCUAACCCGGGCUGCCGAGGGAAAUCCGGAGCUGCUCGGGGCAAGAGUUAAAACGUGUUAAGCACCGAGAUCCAGGCCAGAUGUGGAACUCUCCGGGGCCACCACGGGGCUUUGAGCCGCUGGUUUGACACCUCUGCUUUCGACAUUAAAAGUCCCAGCGGGGAGGAAAUCCUGCUGGCCUGAGUUAUGAGCUAUUUACCGAGGGGGGCAGCCCUUGAAAGGAGUCCCAAUAAAACCUGGAAUAAGACGCUGGCUGAAGAUAAAAAUCCUCCUGGCUCUGAGGGAUAAAGGGAAUGCUGGAAGUGUGUGAGAGCUCCAGGUCCCGUUUGGAAAAGCACUCACAGGCAAUAAACCCCUGCUCAGCUGCUGGCGUGGGAUAGCAGAGGCUUCUCCCCGCCCCGACUCAGAUGUGGGGAGGGAAAUUCAGGAAUUAGUGGCUGGAUGCUGCAAGUGCCCAUCAGGAAUCUCCCCCUCUCUCUGCUCCUCUCUGUUCCCAGGUUUUCCUGUGGUUCAGGGAAGUGCUGGGAUCCCUGGAAAUGCCAAAAAAUGUGUGGAUGCAGCUUCAGGCUCACUUUCACCACAAUGGAUCUCAUUCUUUCUGAGAAUUCUCCUAAAAAAUAAAGGAACGACCCUCAAGUUGCAGGAAAAGGAUCUCCCUAAGCUCUGAGGGCUCAGGAAUUUUUCCAGGGCUCUUCACCCUCACCUGGCUCAGAGGCCACCAGGCAAGGACAGAGGGUGGUGACAGGGCUGGAUUUUGAGGCAGAACUCCCAAAAUAGGCGAGCAAAGCUCCUAAGAGCCUCUCCCUGAGGCGGGGAUCACAAACCCCAGGGGCUGGUGUGGCUCAUGGCCCCUCUCCCGAUGAUUCCAGCCCAGCCUGAGCCUCCCCAGGUGCUGGAUCCGUGUCUGCACGCUUCUCCCGUGCCCUGACACGACUGCGAGUGCCAGGGCUGCUCCUGCCCAUCACUGCCUGCCCUUGACUUGUCUUGCAGACACGUUGCCUUUUUCUUUUUUUCCCUCCCAGGGUUUGAUUUCCUCGCUUGUUUGUUUGUUUUCCUCCCUGCUCGGUGUCAGAGCAGCUCCAGGGCUCGUUCUGAGGCUGACAGGACUUAAGGACGGGGUUUUUCUGCUGUAGAGAAAUCCUCUUGUCACCAGAAAGGACACAGCCAGUGCUGGCUGGGGCUCCAAAGGUGCCACAGGCUUGCAGGGGAGAGGAGAGGCAGCUCCUCCAUCCCUCUCCUCCCUGGAGAUCCCUCCUGAGGCUGCUGGGAAGGGCUCCAGGGAGCAGAGAACUCCUACAAACACCCGGGGGGCAGAUGGCCUGGGGGUUCUGCUCACAAAGAAGUACAAAUAAAGGUGUCCCAGGUGUCCCAGGCUGCCCCAGGAUUCUCAGUGAUGUCCCAGUGGUGUCCCAGUGCUGUUCCAGGAUUCUCCCAGUGAUGUCCCAGGGUUGUCCCAGGAUUCUCUCGGGUGUCCCAGGGCUGUCCCAGAACUGUCCUAGGAUUGUCCCAGCACUGUCCCAGCACUGUCCCGGGCUGUCCCAGGAUUAUCCCAGCGCUGUCCCAGGAUUAUCCCAGCACUGUCCCAGGACUGUCCCAGGAUUCUCCCAGCACUGUCCCAUGGCUGUCCCAGCACUGUCCCGGGCUGUCCCAGGAUUAUCCCAGCGCUGUCCCAGGAUUAUCCCAGCACUGUCCCAGGACUGUCCCAGGAUUCUCCCAGCACUGUCCCAGCACUGUCCCGGGCUGUCCCGGGCUGUCCCGGGGCUGUCUCCCUCCUGAGUCACCCCGGCCCCGGGCACACUCCCUGCCGUGCCGUGCCGUGCCGUGCCGUGCCCGAGGUUCCCAUGGCCAGCAGCCUCCCUGUGCCCCUCCUGCCCGAGCCCGGACCUGCCGGGCUGGCCCAGCCGGUCUCUCCCAGGUGUGGCCGCGUUAUUUGCUCGCUGAUUACCGGAAUAAAACCAUCAUUAACUGCGGCUGCCGCCCCGGCGGGCGUGUGCCGCCCGUCUGCAGGCAGCCCCUGCUGCCACCCCGGCCCUGCCACCCCCGGGGCUGCAUCCCUGCUCACAGGGCACCUCCCAGCCCACAUUUCCCAGGUUUGUGCCUUAUCCAUUCCCGGGAGUGGGAAGGGAAAGAAAAAGAGGAAGGAUGAGGCUUGGAGAGUGCCCAGAACUCAGCACUGGCUCCAUCUCUUUGUAAAAAAAGGGGGGAAAUUACAUGUCAAAUUACAUGUUCAAUUACAUGUUAAAUUGCAUGUUAAAUUACAUGUUAAAUUACAAUUGAAAUUACAUUUGAAAUUGCAUUUGAAAUGACAUUUUAAGCUGAUGUACUCCUUACAAACACAGGCAGAGCCCCCGGAGCACAGCUGGGUUUCUCAGGGCAGGGAUUGUCCUGCACAAAUGUCCCAUCCCAGAGCUCAGGGCUGACCCCAAACCCUCCAGCAGUGGCACAUUGUGGCGCUGGCACGUGCGUGCCAGCCCUGGGGGAGUUCUGCAUCCUGGGAAAUCCCUGGAAGCAGCUUUGGGCUGAAGGAGCUCCUUGUGUGGCUGGGGCAGCAAUGUCCCCAGGGCUGGCACUGUCCCUGCUCCUGCAGCUGGGACAGCAGGGACCCCAGAGCUGUCCCCAAAAUUCCCUGUCCUCAAGGCUGGCCCAGCCCUGGGCUCACACCUGGGACCCUGCAGAGGUGACAGAGGUGACAGAGGUGACAAUUCCCUCACACACUGCCAGACCCCGGGGUUAUUUAGCAGGAGCCCUUCCCUCCACCUUUGCAGAUUUAAUGCAUCCCAGGGAAAGAAAAGCACAGAACUCCCAGAAAUUAAUUUGCAGCCACUCUGCAGAAUUUAUUUUUUAAAAAUCAGAUUUCUCCCAUUUUCAGCAGCGACUCCUUCUCACUUUUUUUCCCCGUGACACCAAAGCACCCACUGUGACAUUCCCAGGCUGCAGAGCUCUGCUGCCAGCUCCUGUCAGCCCCAGGCGUGGGCCAGCAUUGACUCUGCUUCCCCAAAACCACUGAAAUUCCCCAGCAGGACAGGCUGGGAACGUCCUGGAGCAGCCCAGCCCUGCAGAGACAUUUCCAGCAGGCUGAAAAUGUGUGAGAGCAAGGAGGAUUUCUGGAGGAAAGGGGGGAAAUUUGGGUCAGUGGUGCUGGUUGCUGGGAGCAGGGCAGGAAGUGGCUGUGUUUACAGGGCUGGAGUUGUUUUUUCCUGUGGCACACACACGGAACGCUCUCAGAGCCUGGAAACGUUUUUAUGGGAGACAGCAAUUAUCCUGCAGGGUGAAUUAAAAGAUAUAUUUGUGUGGGAAAUGAAUUUGUAGAAUAAAAAACAGCUGGCUUCUGAUUGUAGCAGCGUUAAUUAUAACAUCUGUAUUGAAACACGAGACUGAAAACAGAAUUAAAGUUUUUAAAACACCUCUCAUUACCCCAUCU